rnacentral:tRNA from 1 species
UCCUGGGUGACUCAGUGGUAAAGCAUUUGCCUGCAGUGCAGGAGACUCAGGUUCAAUCCCUGGCUUGGAAA